AAGCAGGGGACAGCAGACAUAGUGGAAGCUUCAGCGCACUGUGAACCAUCGUUAAAUGAACACCAUGACUGAUGAAGCCAUCAGCCCUGUAGGAACAAGGACUGUUGCAGCGUGUGCUCAGAUGGAUUCUCUUUCUGGGCAGCUGAUGUAACAUUUAGAAGUUUCUGCAAUUUGAAACAGAAGCAGUAAGGUCCUUGGUCAGGCUGGCUAAACGGGGCAAUACAUGGCUCCAAGAGGGAAUACAAGCACUGUUAAGGAAGAGUCCUGGGAAGCUGGUCCUGGGAGAGUGGACAAGCUCGUGUCUGCACAUUCAAAUCUCGGGAUCAGGAGCCAGGCUGGUCACAGGAAUACUUGCUUGUGUAGAGCAAACCAAAGCAUUGCAGCUACAGAAAUCAGUUUAAAUGUAAGUUUCACCCUUGGGGUCUCUGUUAAACGUUUCUCCUGAGCAUCUGCAGAGACAUUCCUCACAGCUGUUGCAUGGACUGACUGAAACCCUCCUGGCACCUGCAUAUUCCACAAGAAGUAUUUUACAAGGGCAGUAUUACUGGCUCAGAACACCCCAUUUUCAGUUGCAAUGCAAAAUGACUUGUAACAUCUGGCUUCAGUGGCACUAGGGAGGCUUCUGAGGAGCAAGAUGGAUUGUGCGAAUGACAACCACACACACAGAGCAGCUGGAGUACCAAUCCCCUUCAGCAACCUCAGUCUUCAAAAAGGUAUCCCUGCUCCCAUGGUGGGCAGGACCUGCUUUUCUCCUGGUCCUCCACAACGCUGGUAGUGUUUACAGUAGCUCUACAACAGGUAGAACUGAUGUUUUAAACUCCUCAGAAAAACCCCAAACCAAACCGAAGGCAGUGCUUUGCUUUUCUGAAAUAUUACAAACAGAAAAGCACUAUCUAAGUAUUUUCUUCUAAUUUUAGGGAACUUCUACGAGAGAACAGUGUUGGAGGGUUUGGUUAUACACAGAUGGUGCAAGAUGUUCUCCCACCCCACACUGGAGAGGUUUCACAUCCUCCUUGGGACAGCUUUCGCUCCACACAAGGCAAGAACUGUGCUUCUGGUGAGGUUUUCAUGAGCCAUUGUAGAUGUAAUUUACACAAAUGUGUAGCAUUACCUCUGGUAAGUAACCUUCUGAGGCAAAAUUACCAUGAGUGGUCAUUUAGUUUGGUGUUAAAUUUCCCACAGUCUUGUUUGCGUUAGGUCAGAUCAGCACAAAAUUGAUUUCCUGUGUGGUACCCUUCAGCUCUAUCCCACAACUACAUGGAAUUGUUUCAUUUUUGACUUCCAGAAGAAGCUGUGGGGAAAAAAUACAGUGUAAAACCAGGCAAACCCAAGUGUUAAUUCUGUCUUUUUACAGCUAAUUUUAAUGGACGAACAAAAGGAGGCAAUGGGUGAGCCUUGCCCCCUUAAGACCCAGGGCACCACCACCUCCAGGCAUGACAACAUCAGUCUAUCACAUGAGCAAGGAUGGAGUCAAGCAGUCACACAAGCAAGGGCCCUGCUGUGCCAGCUCUGACACUGGAAGCUCUCAGACAUGCCUUAUCCUGAACUACACAACACAUUUUCCAUGAAUGUGGUCUCAUGGUAUUAAGUAAUUCUACUUUUCCUCCUACUUCGGCCCUCUUGUCUGCAAGCAAGAAUUCCGUUAUCUGUGACAUCUAAAGGA